rnacentral:rRNA from 1 species
GACGAACGCUGGCGGCGUGCCUAACACAUGCAAGUCGAGCGGAAAUAUUCUGAAGAGUAAUCGGAAGGAUAUUUUAGCGGCGGACGGGUGAGUAACACGUGGGCAACCUGCCCUGUACAGGGGGAUAACACUGGGAAACUAGUGCUAAUACCGCAUGAUACGCGAAGAUGGCAUCAUUUUUGCGUCAAAGGAGAAAUCCGGUACAGGAUGGGCCCGCGUCCGAUUAGCUAGUUGGUGAGGUAAUGGCUCACCAAGGCGACGAUCGGUAGCCGGAUUGAGAGGUUGAACGGUCACAUUGGGACUGAGACACGGCCCAGACUCCUACGGGAGGCAGCAGUGGGGAAUAUUGCACAAUGGGGGAAACCCUGAUGCAGCGACGCCGCGUGAAGGAAGAAGGUCUUCGGAUUGUAAACUUCUUUGAUUGGGGACGAAAUAUGACGGUACCCAAGGAACAAGCCACGGCUAACUACGUG